rnacentral:rRNA from 1 species
GGCAGGGGCGGCAGGCCUAACACAUGCAAAGUCGAGCGGAUGACGGGAGCUUGCUCCUUGAUUCAGCGGCGGACGGGUGAGUAAUGCCUAGGAAUCUGCCUGGUAGUGGGGGACAACGUUUCGAAAGGAACGCUAAUACCGCAUACGUCCUACGGGAGAAAGCAGGGGACCUUCGGGCCUUGCGCUAUCAGAUGAGCCUAGGUCGGAUUAGCUAGUUGGUGGGGUAAUGGCUCACCAAGGCGACGAUCCGUAACUGGUCUGAGAGGAUGAUCAGUCACACUGGAACUGAGACACGGUCCAGACUCCUACGGGAGGCAGCAGUGGGGAAUAUUGGACAAUGGGCGAAAGCCUGAUCCAGCCAUGCCGCGUGUGUGAAGAAGGUCUUCGGAUUGUAAAGCACUUUAAGUUGGGAGGAAGGGCAGUAAGUUAAUACCUUGCUGUUUUGACGUUACCGACAGAAUAAGCACCGGCUAACUCUGUGCCAGCAGCCGCGGUAAUACAGAGGGUGCAAGCGUUAAUCGGAAUUACUGGGCGUAAAGCGCGCGUAGGUGGUUUGUUAAGUUGGAUGUGAAAGCCCCGGGCUCAACCUGGGAACUGCAUCCAAAACUGGCAAGCUAGAGUACGGUAGAGGGUGGUGGAAUUUCCUGUGUAGCGGUGAAAUGCGUAGAUAUAGGAAGGAACAUCAGUGGCGAAGGCGACCACCUGGACUGAUACUGACACUGAGGUGCGAAAGCGUGGGGAGCAAACAGGAUUAGAUACCCUGGUAGUCCACGCCGUAAACGAUGUCAACUAGCCGUUGGAAUCCUUUGAGAUUUUAGUGGCGCAGCUAACGCAUUAAGUUGACCGCCUGGGGAGUACGGCCGCAAGGUUAAAACUCAAAUGAAUUGUCGGGGCCUGCACAAGCGGUGGAGCAUGUGUUAAUUCUAAGCAACGCGUACAACCUUAUCAGGCCUUGACAUGCAGAGAACUUUCCAGAGAUGAAUGGUGCUCUCGGCACUCCUGACACAUGUGCUGGCAUGGCUGU